rnacentral:rRNA from 1 species
AACGAACGCUGGCGGCGCGCCUAAUACAUGCAAGUCGAGCGAGAAGACGUAGCAAUACGUUUGUAAAGCGGCGAACGGGUGAGGAAUACAUGGGUAACCUACCCUCGAGUGGGGAAUAACUAGCCGAAAGGUUAGCUAAUACCGCGUACGCUCCUUGGACUUCGGUUCAGGGAGGAAAGCGAUACCGUGGGUAUCGCGCUCUUGGAUGGGCUCAUGUCCUAUCAGCUUGUUGGUGAGGAACGGCUCACCAAGGCUUCGACGGGUAGCUGGUCUGAGAGGAUGAUCAGCCACACUGGCACUGCGACACGGGCCAGACUCCUACGGGAGGCAGCAGUAAGGAAUAUUGCGCAAUGGGCGAAAGCCUGACGCAGCGACGCCGCGGUGGGGGA